AUGCAUGCAUGGAAUGGUGUAGAUGUGCCCAAGUGCAUGGCAUAUAGGGCAAAGAACAUAGCUAUUGAAGCUGUCUUAGGAGAUCACAAGAAGCAAUAUCCUAGGCUUAAAGACUAUGCUCAGACUGUCAUGGAGACAAACCCUGGGAGUAGAGUAAUAGUCACUACUGUUACUCCAGUACCAAAUGCAAAAAUACCCCACCGAGGCCCAAGAUUCCAUGCCAUGUUCUUUUGCCUGAAUGGAGCAAGGGAGGGGUUUCUCAAUGGGUGUAGGCCAUUCAUUGCUCACUACAGGAGCUCAACUCCUUGCUGCCACUGGUAG
rnacentral:rRNA from 1 species